UACGGAGGGGGCUAGCGUUGUUCGGAAUUACUGGGCGUAAAGCGCACGUAGGCGGCUUUGUAAGUUAGAGGUGAAAGCCCAGGGCUUAACCCUGGAAUUGCCUUUAAGACUGCAUCGCUAGAAUCGUGGAGAGGUGAGUGGAAUUCCGAGUGUAGAGGUGAAAUUCGUAGAUAUUCGGAAGAAACACCAGUGGCGAAGGCGACUCACUGGACACGUAUUGACGCUGAGGUGCGAAAGCGUGGGGAGCAAACAGGG
rnacentral:rRNA from 1 species